rnacentral:sRNA from 1 species
UACAGAUACAAUAAAUAACACACGAAACGAAACUGUGAAGGAACUGGAGCUGGAACUAGCGCGCGCUUUUUAAAAGUAUCGGUUCGUUAGGCUCCACAUCCAGCCGGGCAGCAGACCCAUGCCAGUGCCCGUAUUUGUGUUCGUAUUUGGAAUCUGCGGUACUGCAUUAUGGCAAUAUACGUUUGGAUGGAAUUGAUCGAUUGAUCCCAACCGAAAUGAAAUGAGAGACAGAUAUGUAAUAAAGAAAAAUUGAUAAAAAAGAUAAUCGCAUAAAUACAAUUUCAGCAAGUCGAAGCGGUUUACAGCGGGCAGCUUUUGGGUGUGCGCAGGAUUACGUGCUGUUUGUGACGUAACUAAAUACAAUUUGAUCUACGAAUGAUUGCGAUUGCGAUUGCGAUACGUUAAGCAAGCGAUAGCGAUAGCGAUAACGAUAGCUAAUAAUCAGUUCGAUCAACUGGCAUAAAAUACAAUUGCUAAAAAUGAAGCACACAGAGCUACAAUUAAUAAAGCUUAAUUACACGCAGACACACACAUCAGAGAUGGGAGAGCAGCUUUUAAUUGAUGACACACACACACACACAGAUUGGGUGAGGGGUUCAAACGUUAUUUGCUGGGCAAUAAAAACAAACACAUUGACUUCAAUAAUAGAAUUGAACUACAAUACGAGUACGAGUACGAUACGAUACAUAUAUAAACUUAAUUAAACAUACCAUAUUUGUAUAAAUUCAUUUAAUGGAUACGUCUCUGUGUGGAGAGACUGCCAGAUUUUUAAGGAUUUUUAAAACAUUUUUUUGGCUGUUCAGCUACUAUCGAAUCCGCUUGGGACUCAAACAAAACUACCGCCGAGUCGAUCCCACUCACCUGCGUCCAGAUCAAUAUCACCA